rnacentral:rRNA from 1 species
AGAGUUUGAUCCUGGCUCAGAUUUUACGCUAGCGGGAUGCCUUACACAUGCAAGUCGAACGGCAGCACGGACUUCGGUCUGGUGGCGAGUGGCGAACGGGUGAGUAAUGUAUCGGAACGUGCCUAGUAGCGGGGGAUAACUACGCGAAAGCGUAGCUAAUACCGCAUACGCCCUACGGGGGAAAGCAGGGGAUCGCAAGACCUUGCACUAUUAGAGCGGCCGAUAUCGGAUUAGCUAGUUGGUGGGGUAACGGCUCACCAAGGCGACGAUCCGUAGCUGGUUUGAGAGGACGACCAGCCACACUGGGACUGAGACACGGCCCAGACUCCUACGGGAGGCAGCAGUGGGGAAUUUUGGACAAUGGGGGAAACCCUGAUCCAGCCAUCCCGCGUGUGCGAUGAAGGCCUUCGGGUUGUAAAGCACUUUUGGCAGGAAAGAAACGUCAUGGGCUAAUACCCCGUGAAACUGACGGUACCUGCAGAAUAAGCACCGGCUAACUACGUGCCAGCAGCCGCGGUAAUACGUAGGGUGCAAGCGUUAAUCGGAAUUACUGGGCGUAAAGCGUGCGCAGGCGGUUCGGAAAGAAAGAUGUGAAAUCCCAGAGCUUAACUUUGGAACUGCAUUUUUAACUACCGAGCUAGAGUGUGUCAGAGGGAGGUGGAAUUCCGCGUGUAGCAGUGAAAUGCGUAGAUAUGCGGAGGAACACCGAUGGCGAAGGCA